UACGGGGGGGGCAAGCGUUGUUCGGAAUUACUGGGCGUAAAGGGCGCGUAGGCGGCCAUGCGUGUCUUCCGUGAAAUCCCUCGGCUUAACUGAGGACGUGCGGAAGAAACUGCAAGGCUCGAGUCCGGGAGAGGGGGGUGGAAUUCCCAGUGUAGCGGUGAAAUGCGUAGAUAUUGGGAGGAACACCGGUGGCGAAGGCGGCCCCCUGGACCGGAACUGACGCUGAGGCGCGAAAGCGUGGGUAGCAAACGGGG
rnacentral:rRNA from 1 species